CUUUCCCCCAAGGCCCUCACUGGAUUUUGCUGUUUGAUCACUCCUACAUGAGCUGCAACUCUACAUGAGACAGAGGGGCUAUUGGAAACUACAGUGGUGAUUCCUUGGGAAAAAAGGCACAAAGGGAAGCAGAUAUGUCAGGAUGAUCUGUGGGAACGUCUCAGUCGAGGUGGCAUCGGCUGAAAGGUCAUCGAAUAAAUGCGGCCGAGCAAGUUCGGACAGUGUCCCAGGCAUUUUCAGGGCAGCACAAUCACAGCUGGGAGCAGCGGGGCCCGCAUGCUGCACACAGCUCGAAGGACAAAAGGCUCUAGAAGAAAUUGAUAGAUUAGAAAAGGGCACGGUCCGUCAUUUGCCUUUUGUUUUCCCUAUCAGAGGCCUUCAGUGUUGCUGUGUUUCACGAGGACAACAUUAUAAAGCAUGAAAGAUUGCCUGGCUUAUGGGUAUUUAUGGCAAGUGUAAGUAUUUCGACUGUUUUUCACGGCUGAGUGAGCUGCCCUUUAAGAUGCUCGGAAAGGCAUUCCGACGCCC